rnacentral:tRNA from 1 species
GCCUGGCUCAGUGGUUGAGCAUCAACCUAUAAACCUGGAGGCCCUGGUUCAAUUCCUGGUCAGGGCA